UACGUAGGGUGCAAGCGUUGUCCGGAAUUAUUGGGCGUAAAGAGCUCGUAGGCGGUCUGUCGCGUCGAAUGUGAAAACCCGGGGCUCAACCCCGGGCCUGCAUUCGAUACGGGCAGACUAGAGUUCGGUAGGGGAGACUGGAAUUCCUGGUGUAGCGGUGAAAUGCGCAGAUAUCAGGAAGAACACCCGUGGCUAAGGCGGCUCUCUAGUACGGUACUGACGCUGAGACGCGAAAGCGUGGGGAGCGAACAGG
rnacentral:rRNA from 1 species